rnacentral:rRNA from 1 species
UGGGGAAUUUUGGACAAUGGGCGAAAGCCUGAUCCAGCAAUGCCGCGUGUGUGAAGAAGGCCUUCGGGUUGUAAAGCACUUUUGUCCGGAAAGAAAUCCUUGGCUCUAAUACAGUCGGGGGAUGACGGUACCGGAAGAAUAAGCACCGGCUAACUACGCGCCAGCAGCCGCGGUAAUACGUAGGGUGCAAGCGUUAAUCGGAAUUACUGGGCGUAAAGCGUGCGCAGGCGGUUUGCUAAGACCGAUGUGAAAUCCCCGGGCUCAACCUGGGAACUGCAUUGGUGACUGGCAGGCUAGAGUAUGGCAGAGGGGGGUAGAAUUCCACGUGUAGCAGUGAAAUGCGUAGAGAUGUGGAGGAAUACCGAUGGCGAAGGCAGCCCCCUGGGCCAAUACUGACGCUCAUGCACGAAAGCGUGGGGAGCAAACAGGAUUAGAUACCCUGGUAGUCCACGCCCUAAAACGAUGUCAACUAGUUGUUGGGGAUUCAUUUCCUUAGUAACGUAGCUAACGCGUGAAGUUGACCGCCUGGGGAGUACGGUCGCAAGAUUAAAACUCAAGGAAUUGACGGGUCAUAGCUG